CCAUCAUUUGUUGGGCACUCUAAUGAGACUGCCGGUGACAAACCGGGAGGAAGGUGGGGAUGACGUCAAGUCCUCAUGGCCCUUAUGGGUAGGGCUUCACACGUCAUACAAUGGUCGGUACAGAGGGUUGCCAACCCGCGAGGGGGAGCUAAUCCCACAAAGCCGAUCGUAGUCCGGAUCGCAGUCUGCAACUCGACUGCGUGAAGUCGGAAUCGCUAGUAAUCGCGGAUCAGCAUGUCGCGGUGAAUACGUUCCCGGGUCUU
rnacentral:rRNA from 1 species